rnacentral:lncRNA from 1 species
CUAGCUCGGGAAGGAGGGGGUCAAGCGGCAGGAAGUGCGCUCUCCCACCGCGUCCUGAGCACAGUGACCCCCUCCCGUCCGACGCGCGGGGGAGAAUUGGGAUGGCGGGAGAGAGAGGGGUACCCUGGGGAGGAGGCGCCUCGCGGGCACGUUGCGCUGGAGCGAGCCCUCGCUCAGGGAUGUUCAGAGGCCGAGGCCCGGCUGGAUAGGGCUGGCAUCGUCAGUGGCCGCUUGAGCUCCUGGAACAGAAAGAGGCUGGCAGGUACGGCUUGCUCCGGGUGCCUGGCAGCACCCCCCAUGCUUCUCAGACUCAGAACUAGGCCAGCCCCCCUUUUCCUGGACCCCCUUCUCCUUGGCUGUCAUUCUUCUCUGUUCUGUUGCCACAGCUAGCCCUUUGGGGGUUCAGUGCCCAGCUGCCCCACCUGCUCUGGGAGCUGGGGUCCAGCAGAGGCGGAGGUCAUCUGGUCCUGCAGGGGGACCAGCUCCACCCCAGCUGCCCCUACUGCUAGCUGUGACUAUGUGGAGGCAGGUGUGUUGAGGGAAAUUGUGUGCGAACCUACUAAGAGACAAGCAGGAAUGGUGAAGGGAUGGGUGGGUCCAAGGACAUGACUGGAUUGGUUCCAGUCAUCAGACUCGUCUGGCCUUUCAUGUGAGAACAUAAUUAUCCCACGGUAGGAGAAGGCAAUGGCAACCCACUCCAGUACUCUUGCCUGGAAAAUCCCAUGGACGAAGGAGCAUGGUAGGCUGAAGUCCAUGGGGUCGAUAAGAGUCAGACACGACUGAGCGACUUCACUUUCACUUUUUACUUUCACGCAUUGGAGGAAAUGGCAACCCACUCCAGUGUUCUUGCCUGGAGACUCCCAGGGACGGGGGAGCCUGGUGGGCUGCCGUCUAUGGGGUCGCACAGAGUCGGAUACGACUGAAGUGACUUAGCAGCAGCAGCAGUGACAUAGUGGUGGUGUUAGUCUUCAGUUGAGUCCAGUUGUUUGCAACCCCAUGGACUACUGUAGCCCUCCAGGCUCUUCUGUGGGACUCUCCAGGCAGGAAUACUGGAGUGGGUUGCCAUACCCUCCUCCAGACCGGCCUCCCACAUCCAUCCGUCCAUAAUUAUACCCAUCCCCACCCACCAUCCCUCCAUCCGUCCGCCCUCUGCCUGUUCUUCCAGUUGUCCUCUGCCUCCCGCCCUGUCCUGCACACCUCUCUGCCUGUUUGUCUCCAGUGCCUCUGGACACAUCACAGAGUGGCUGUUGCACCAGCCGCAUGCUCCACGUCCACCCUUUGGUUACAGGUACCUUCCGGGCACCUCCUGUAGGCCACACACUUCGCCAUGUACCGAGCUGUGCUGGUGAACAGAACUGAAGAAGUGCCGGCCUUUGGGAGAUUCCUGUGU